CCGGGCCAAGCAGGGGAGACAUCACGGAGAGUCACACCAAGAUAGAUAGGUCAAUUUAGGAUGCCGCGGACGGACCAUGCAGAGGACUCAUCGCGACGACACCAACGGUUUGGUUAAGUGGGUUCUCUUGUGUGUGCGUCUGUGUGUGAAUGGCAGGCCUGUCGUAUGAUUGUGUGUGUGUGUGCGUUGGCGUUAUGCCUUCGCACUAUUAUUUUGUUAGGAUGUAUUUUUUUGUGUGUGAACUUUUUGCACGUAAUCUUUUUUUAUACCCAUAGCUAGCGUUUGUUUGUGUGGCAGUGUUCCGGGAGAUGGACGCCGGGGGACAUGGGCUUGGGGAGGCGCACAUGACCUCCUCUGUCCGUGACCUCUUCAGCUGGGGAGACCGCGUGUUGCCCCGCCUGGAGAGACACGUUGAUGGAGGUGGCCGUGUGUGUCAUCCCUUUGCCUGUAUCCUCUGGCGCCCAGAGGCGCGUAAGUGGAGAGCAUCGGCGCAGCGCGGGAGCAGCACGUCAGGGUGUAGGGUGUUUGUUUAGCUGGUGUAGGGUGUUAGGGUGUUAGGGUGUUAGGUGUAACAACGGUUGGCUCUUUCACAGAACGGGUGUGAUUCCGUUCUGCGUUUGAGUCUUCCACCUUCAGACGGUCUCCCUCCGAGAUGUCUGAAGUUUUUUUUGUCGGUUUUCUCCGUAGGAGGAAGCCGACUCUAGCUACUCUGGCCUCUCUUCCGGGGGUCAGAGCGGUCGGGCUCUGCUUGGCCAGGCGUUAGUCUUUCGCGUU